rnacentral:rRNA from 1 species
AAUAAGCGGAGGAAAAGAAACCAACCGGGAUUACCUCAGUAACGGCGAGUGAAGCGGUAACAGCUCAAAUUUGAAAUCUGGCUCCUCUGGAGUCCGAAUUGUAAUUUGUAGAAGAUGCUUUGGGUUGUGGGUUCGGCCUAAGUUCCUUGGAACAGGACGUCAUAGAGGGUGAGAAUCCCGUAUGUGGCCGAGGCCCGCGCCUAUGUAAAGCUCUUUCAACGAGUCGAGUUGUUUGGGAAUGCAGCUCAAAAUGGGUGGUAAAUUUCAUCUAAAGCUAAAUAUGGGCCAGAGACCGAUAGCGCACAAGUAGAGUGAUCGAAAGAUGAAAAGCACUUUGGAAAGAGAGUUAAACAGUACGUGAAAUUGUUGAAAGGGAAGCGCUUGCACCCAGACUUGGGCGCUGCCGAUCACCUUGAGGUCUCCUCGAGUGCACUCGACAGCGCACAGGCCAGCAUCGGUUCGGGUGGCUGGAUAAAGGCCGUAGGAACGUAGCUCUCUUCGGGGAGUGUUAUAGCCUACGGUGCCAUGCAGCCCAGCCGGACCGAGGACCGCGCCUUCGGGCUAGG